rnacentral:rRNA from 1 species
UGCUAAGCCAUAAACAUUGAGAGAUAUAAAUACAACACUCUCCGCCAGAGAACUACAAGUGAAAAACUUAAAACUCAAAGGACUUGGCGGUGUCCCACAUCGACCUAGAGGAGCCUGUCCUAUAAUCGAUACUCCCCGUUCCACCUCACCAACACUAGCACCAACCAGCCUAUAUACCGCCGUCGACAGCUUACCCCAUGAGGGUGAAAUAGUAAGCAUAAUAGUCUCACCACUAACACGUCAGGUCAAGGUGUAGCUAAUGUGUUGGCAGAGAUUGGCUACAUUUUUUAUUUUAAAAAACACGAAAUGCUACAUGAAAAACAGCAUGAAGGCGAAUUUAGUAGUAAAACAGACAAGAGAGCCUGCUUUAACAACGCUCUGGGACGCGUACAC